rnacentral:tRNA from 1 species
GGGGGUGUGGCUCAGCGGGUAGAGUACCUGUCUACCAUGUAGGAAUCCCUGGGUUCCAUCCCCAGCACCACAU